rnacentral:lncRNA from 1 species
UUGAAUUCACAAUUUACAUGGAUGGAAUAGAUUAUAUCCUGGGAUGGUCAUACGCAUGAGACUUCGAAUAGUAAGACCACACGAAAAGGUGGAAAACCACAGUAACUGAUUAGCCUGACUGUCAAACUGAAUUGCUGGCUAUUUAGACUAAAUUAUACUGGACACUUAUACUUAACUGGAGUAUUUCUUCAACACCCUU